rnacentral:rRNA from 1 species
UACGUAGGGGGCAAGCGUUGUCCGGAUUCAUUGGGCGUAAAGAGCACGCAGGCGGUUUGGCAAGUCGGAUGUGAAAACCCGGAGCUCAACUCCGGACCUGCAUCCGAAACUGCCCGACUAGAGGUAGGUAGGGGAGAUCGGAAUUCCUGGUGUAGCGGUGAAAUGCGCAGAUAUCAGGAGGAACACCGGUGGCGAAGGCGGGUCUCUGGGCCGAUACUGACGCUGAGGAGCGAAAGCGUGGGGAGCGAACAGG